rnacentral:rRNA from 1 species
ACGCUCGACACCUACGGAGGCAGCAGUGGGGAAUAUUGCACAAUGGGGGAAACCCUGAUGCAGCGACGCCGCGUGAGCGAAGAAGUAUCUCGGUAUGUAAAGCUCUAUCAGCAGGGAAGAAAAUGACGGUACCUGACUAAGAAGCCCCGGCUAAUUACGUGUCAGCAGCCGCGGUAAUCUGAGCGGGCUGGCAAGGC